rnacentral:rRNA from 1 species
UACAGAGGGUGCGAGCGUUGUUCGGAAUUACUGGGCGUAAAGGGCGCGUAGGUGGCCUUCUAAGUUGAACGUGAAAUCCCUGGGCUCAACCCAGGAACUGCGUCCAAGACUGGGAGGCUUGAAUCCGGGAGAGGGAUGCGGAAUUCCAGGUGUAGCGGUGAAAUGCGUAGAUAUCUGGAGGAACACCGGUGGCGAAGGCGGCAUCCUGGACCGGGAUUGACACUGAGGCGCGAAAGCCAGGGGAGCAAACGGG